GGAUGUGAGGGCGAUCUGGCUGCAACAUCUGUCACCCCAUUGAUCACCAGGGUUGAUUCGACUGAUCUGGCUGGAUAGGCGGGUGUCCCCUUCCUCCCUCACCACUCCAUGUGCGUCCCUCCCGAAGCUGCACACUUGGUCUAAGAGGACGGCCUUCCCGGAAUGGAGACUGACCGGUCUUCGAUUGAGGGUAUACGAGUAGCUGCGCUCCCCUGCUAGAACCUCCAAAUAAGCUCACACGACCUACAGUACACCCAGGCCUGCAGAUGGCUGAGAUGUCCUUCUUUGAUAGGUCACCGAGCACUACUUACUUCGAUUACAUUUAAGUUCUGUGGAGUCCUU
rnacentral:snRNA from 1 species